GGGUUGUGAGGUUAAGCGACCAAGCGUACACGGUGGAUGCCCUGGCAGUCAGAGGCGAUGAAGGACGUGCUAAUCUGCGAAAAGCGCCGGUAAGGUGAUAUGAACCGUUAUAACCGGCGAUGUCCGAAUGGGGAAACCCAGUGUGAUUUGUCACACUAUCAUUAACUGAAUCCAUAGGUUAAUGAGGCGAACCGGGGGAACUGAAACAUCUAAGUACCCCGAGGAAAAGAAAUCAACCGAGAUUCCCCCAGUAGCGGCGAGCGAACGGGGAGGAGCCCAGAGCCUGAAUCAGCAUGUGUGUUAGUGGAAGCGUCUGGAAAGGCGCGCGAUACAGGGUGACAGCCCCGUACACAAAAGCGCACGUGCUGUGAGCUCGAUGAGUAGGGCGGGACACGUGGUAUCCUGUCUGAAUAUGGGGGGACCAUCCUCCAAGGCUAAAUACUCCUGACUGACCGAUAGUGAACCAGUACCGUGAGGGAAAGGCGAAAAGAACCCCGGCGAGGGGAGUGAAACAGAACCUGAAACCGUGUACGUACAAGCAGUGGGAGCCCCACCACUAAGCCAGUGGUGAACUCCACAUACGCAUCCUUUGCUGAGGAUACGGUUAACGGAGCGAAAGCGACGUUCAGCCGCAAAAGAAGCAGAGGGGGCUUAGUGGUGGGGUGACUGCGUACCUUUUGUAUAAUGGGUCAGCGACUUAUAUUCUGUAGCAAGGUUAACCGCAUAGGGGAGCCGGAGGGAAACCGAGUCUUAAUUGGGCGUUAAGUUGCAGGGUAUAGACCCGAAACCCGGUGAUCUAGCCAUGGGCAGGUUGAAGGUUGGGUAACACUAACUGGAGGACCGAACCGACUAAUGUUGAAAAAUUAGCGGAUGACCUGUGGCUGGGGGUGAAAGGCCAAUCAAACCGGGAGAUAGCUGGUUCUCCCCGAAAGCUAUUUAGGUAGCGCCUCGUGAAUUCAUCUCCGGGGGUAGAGCACUGUUUCGGCCAGGGGGCCAUCCCGGCUUACCAAUCCGAUGCAAACUGCGAAUACCGGAGAAUGUUAUCACGGGAGACACACGGCGGGUGCUAACGUCCGUCGUGAAGAGGGAAACAACCCAGACCGCCAGCUAAGGUCCCAAAGUCAUGGUUAAGUGGGAAACGAUGUGGGAAGGCCCAGACAGCCAGGAUGUUGGCUUAGAAGCAGCCAUCAUUUAAAGAAAGCGUAAUAGCUCACUGGUCGAGUCGGCCUGCGCGGAAGAUGUAACGGGGCUAAACCAU
rnacentral:rRNA from 1 species